rnacentral:rRNA from 1 species
AUGCAAGUCGAGCGGUAACAGGGGUAGCUUGCUACCCGCUGACGAGCGGCGGACGGGUGAGUAAUGCAUAGGAAUCUGCCCGAUAGUGGGGGAUAACCUGGGGAAACCCAGGCUAAUACCGCAUACGUCCUACGGGAGAAAGGGGGCUUCGGCUCCCGCUAUUGGAUGAGCCUAUGUCGGAUUAGCUAGUUGGUAAGGUAAUGGCUUACCAAGGCAACGAUCCGUAGCUGGUCUGAGAGGAUGAUCAGCCACAUCGGGACUGAGACACGGCCCGAACUCCUACGGGAGGCAGCAGUGGGGAAUAUUGGACAAUGGGGGCAACCCUGAUCCAGCCAUGCCGCGUGUGUGAAGAAGGCCCUCGGGUUGUAAAGCACUUUCAGCGAGGAAGAACGCCUAUCGGUUAAUACCCGGUAGGAAAGACAUCACUCGCAGAAGAAGCACCGGCUAACUCCGUGCCAGCAGCCGCGGUAAUACGGAGGGUGCAAGCGUUAAUCGGAAUUACUGGGCGUAAAGCGCGCGUAGGUGGCUUGAUAAGCCGGUUGUGAAAGCCCCGGGCUCAACCUGGGAACGGCAUCCGGAACUGUCAGGCUAGAGUGCAGGAGAGGAAGGUAGAAUUCCCGGUGUAGCGGUGAAAUGCGUAGAGAUCGGGAGGAAUACCAGUGGCGAAGGCGGCCUUCUGGACUGACACUGACACUGAGGUGCGAAAGCGUGGGUAGCAAACAGGAUUAGAUACCCUGGUAGUCCACGCCGUAAACGAUGUCGACCAGCCGUUGGGUGCCUAGAGCACUUUGUGGCGAAGUUAACGCGAUAAGUCGACCGCCUGGGGAGUACGGCCGCAAGGUUAAAACUCAAAUGAAUUGACGGGGGCCCGCACAAGCGGUGGAGCAUGUGGUUUAAUUCGAUGCAACGCGAAGAACCCUUA